rnacentral:rRNA from 1 species
CCUACGGGUGACAGCAGUGAGGAAUAUUGGUCAAUGGCCGGAAGGCUGAACCAGCCAAGCCGCGUGAGGGACGAAGGUGCCAAGCAUUGUAAACUUCUUUUGUCAGGGGACAAAAGCAUGCUCGAGAGCCUGACCGCGGGUACUUGAAGAAAAAGCAUCGGCUAACUCCGUGCCAGCAGCCGCGGUAAUACGGAGGAUCCGGGCGUUAUCCGGAUUUAUUGGGUUUAAAGGGUGCGUAGGCGGACUGUUAAGUCUGCGGUAAAAGCCUGGGGCUCAACCCGGGAGGGCCGUUGAAACUGGAGGUCUUGAGAUGUCGAGAGGCAUGCGGAAUGCGUGGUGUAGCGGUGAAAUGCUUAGAUAUCGCGAAGAACCCCGAUUGCGAAGGCAGCAUACCGGAGGCGAUCUGACGCUGAGGCACGAAAGCGUGGGUAUCGAACAGGAUUAGAUACCCUAGUAGUC